GAUGAAGAACGCAGCGAAAUGCGAAAAGUAAUGUGAAUUGCAGAAUUCAGUGAAUCAUCGAAUCUUUGAACGCACAUUGCGCCCGCCAGUAUUCUGGCGGGCAUGCCUGUCUGAGCGUCAUUUCAACCCUCAUGCCCCUAGGGCGUGGCGUUGGGGAUCGGCCAGCGCCCGCGAGGGACGGCCGGCCCCUAAAUCUAGUGGCGGACCCGUCGUGGCCUCCCCUGCGAAGUAGUGAUAUUCCGCAUAGGAGAGCGACGAGCCCCUGCCGUUAAACCCCCAACUUUCUAAGGUUGACCUCAGAUCAGGUAGGAAUACCCGCUGAACUUAAGCAUAUCAAUAGCGGAGGA
rnacentral:misc_RNA from 1 species